CGGACGGGUGAGUAACGCGUGGAAAACCUGCCGUAUACUGGGGGAUAACACUUAGAAAUAGGUGCUAAUACCGCAUAAGCGCACAGCUUCGCAUGAAGCGGUGUGAAAAACUCUGGUGGUAUACGAUGGUUCCGCGUCUGAUUAGCUAGUUGGUGGGGUAAUGGCCUACCAAGGCAACGAUCAGUAGCCGGCCUGAGAGGGUGAACGGCCACAUUGGGACUGAGACACGGUCCAAACUCCUACGGGAGGCAGCAG
rnacentral:rRNA from 1 species